UGUCCCUGCCCGUGGCAGGGGGUUGGAACUGGAUUAUCUUUAACAUCCCUUCCAACACAAACCAUCCUGUGAGUCUAUGAGUCUAUGACCUGUACAGAGGCAGAGCAAGGUUAGUGGAAUUCUCACCAUGUGGUCGGAAAGGACGUGUCCUCUGGCAACUUCUGAGGCACAAGGAAAAUUGCACCUAUCCACAGUUAGAUGAAUGAUGAAUUGAAGCGCUCCUGGUGGAUAUAUUCAGGUGCCUGGGCAUGCCUGAAUUUACUGUGGAUGUAACCUCCGUGGAACAGAACAUAUUUACAGGGAGAAAUAAUGCAAGUGCUGCCUUCAGGCUCCUUCCCACUUGGACGUGGACCUCUGGAGUUCUUCCAAAUGCUCAUCUAUAGAUGAAUGGAAGCGUUUCUGGAUGCACUCCUUUGUGCCAGUGGGCACAAAAGGUCUUCAGUAUCUCCAGUACCUUCCAGGAAGCACUCUGUGGAGUGUUGGAAUCGGUGUGCAAUGAACUGGUAACGCUGCAUGAUGGGUGAACUGCACCCAGGGCCUUGGUGCACCAUGUGGUAGCUCAGCACCUCCCCAAAGCCUCUAAAGAAGCUUCUCAGACCUGUCCUGUUCUGGUGAGAACCUGAUGCUUUGUUCUCACUGCUCUACUUGGAUCACUUGCUUUAAGAGAAAUAACAUGUUUUAUUGUUGCUUGAGAUAACUUUUAAAUGUACCUUAAACCAUAUUGGAGGGAUUGGGAUUGGAGGUUCCAGUCCUGAGGCAACAGUUGGACUUGAUGAUCAUAAAGGUCUUUUCCAACCUAGUAGAUUAUAUGAUUCUAUGAUUUAAAUAAAAGUAACAGGCAUACUCCAUCAAAA